UAUUAAAAACAUCAAUAAUAUUUUUUUUCCGCGAAAAAGAAAUAUUAAAAAUCAGUACAAUAUCGCUGAAUAAUACAGAAUCUUAGGCAAUUUAUUUCCUAACGUAAUAUUACGAAGAAAUCGAAUAACGCUUCCGAACGAUCGCCGAGUCACGAGUGUCCGUGCUUUUGCGGUAAUAAAAUUAAAAAGGUAAAAAUAAGCGCGCGAAAACAUUACCAAGAUGGCGUGAACGAUAUGUAAGUGUGCAAUGUUUCAACUGAUUAUCUUUUGCUAGUUAAUUUUGUGUAUUUUUUUAUAAAGUAAUAGUACAUAUAAAUAUUGCAAGUAAAGCGUGAAACGGAAAAUUUAACAAAAUUUAAAAAAGUUGUUGGUGGGUAUCAUUUAAAAAUAUAUGACAGUUUGUAUUGACGGAUCACAGUUUUAUUACUAAUUUUAAUACCGUCGUUGAAAAGUUUUACCGCCAUUAGUGUUUUUGUGUUUGCUUUGUGAGUGAUAAAUAUUGAAAAAUAAUACUCGUGCCGUGCGCUUCCUGCAUGCUGACGGGAUGACAACUUACAAUCGACCUAUCCGCACAACACUUAAGGUACAUAACUCAUCGUAGUAGAAUCCAGUUAAUGGAGGCGCAGGCGCAGUAUGACAAACAGUGAUCAUCGCAAAUCACCCGCCGUGUGGGACGAGACGCAGCGGUGCGCGGGAUGCAAUGGAAAACAUAAAAUGGAACUAUAACACUCUGGCUGUUUGGAGUAGUCUCAAACUCUGUCUGAUUUAAUGAAGAAGUAGG